GACGAACGCUGGCGGCGUGCUUAACACAUGCAAGUCGAACGGAAAGGCCCUGCUUUUGUGGGGUGCUCGAGUGGCGAACGGGUGAGUAACACGUGAGUAACCUGCCCUUGACUUUGGGAUAACUUCAGGAAACUGGGGCUAAUACCGGAUAGGAGCUCCUGCUGCAUGGUGGGGGUUGGAAAGUUUCGGCGGUUGGGGAUGGACUCGCGGCUUAUCAGCUUGUUGGUGGGGUAGUGGCUUACCAAGGCUUUGACGGGUAGCCGGCCUGAGAGGGUGACCGGCCACAUUGGGACUGAGAUACGGCCCAGACUCCUACGGGAGGCAGCAGUGGGGAAUAUUGCACAAUGGGCGGAAGCCUGAUGCAACAACGCCGCGUGCGGGAUGACGGCCUUCGGGUUGUAAACCGCUUUCGCCUGUGACGAAGCGUGGGUGACGGUAAUGGGUAAAGAAGCACCGGCUAACUACGUG
rnacentral:rRNA from 1 species